UACGUAGGGGGCUAGCGUUGUCCGGAAUCAUUGGGCGUAAAGCGCGUGUAGGCGGUCCGGUAAGUCCGCUGUGAAAGUCGGGGGCUCAACCCUCGAAUGCCGGUGGAUACUGUCGGGCUAGAGUGCGGAAGAGGCGAGUGGAAUUCCCGGUGUAGCGGUGAAAUGCGCAGAUAUCGGGAGGAACACCAGUGGCGAAGGCGACUACCUGGCCUGUUCUUGACGCUGAGGCGCGAAAGCUAGGGGAGCAAACGGG
rnacentral:rRNA from 1 species